rnacentral:rRNA from 1 species
UGGGGAAUAUUGCACAAUGGGCGAAAGCCUGAUGCAGCAACGCCGCGUGAGUGAUGAAGGUCUUCGGAUUGUAAAGCUCUGUCUUUUGGGACGAUAAUGACGGUACCAAAGGAGGAAGCCACGGCUAACUACGUGCCAGCAGCCGCGGUAAUACGUAGGUGGCGAGCGUUGUCCGGAUUUACUGGGCGUAAAGGGUGCGUAGGCGGAUGUUUAAGUGAGAUGUGAAAUACCCGGGCUUAACUUGGGUGCUGCAUUUCAAACUGGAUAUCUAGAGUGCAGGAGAGGAGAAUGGAAUUCCUAGUGUAGCGGUGAAAUGCGUAGAGAUUAGGAAGAACACCAGUGGCGAAGGCGAUUCUCUGGACUGUAACUGACGCUGAGGCACGAAAGCGUGGGUAGCAAACAGGAUUAGAUACCCUGG